UAGAUAGAGGCCUACCAUGGUGGUAACGGGUAACGGGGUGUUAGGGCACGACACCGGAGAGGGAGCCUGAGAAACGGCUACCACAUCCAAGGAUGGCAGCAGGCGCGCAAAUUACCCAAUCCCGACACGGGGAGGUAGUGACAAUAAAUAACAAUACGGGGUUCUUUCGGAUUUCGUAAUUGGAAUGAGUACAAUUUAAAUCUCUUAACGAGGAACAAUUGGAGGGCAAGUCUGGUGCCAGCAGCCGCGGUAAUUCCAGCUCCAAUAGCGUAUAUUAAAGUUGUUGCAGUUAAAAAGCUCGUAGUUGAAUUUCGGGACUAAUAUGUCGGUCGUGCCUCGGUACGUACUGGUUUAUUGGUUUCUCCUUUCUGAAGAACCAUGAUGUCAUUUAUUUGGUGUCGUGGGGAAUCAGGACUGUUACUUUGAAAAAGUUAGAGUGUUUAAAGCAGGCUCACGCUUGAAUACAUUAGCAUGGAAUAGUGAAAUAGGACGUUUGAUUCUAUUUUGUUGGUUUCUAGGAUCGACGUAAUGAUUAAUAGGGAUAGUUGGGGGCAUUAUUAUUCAAUUGUCAGAGGUGAAAUUCUUGGAUUUAUUGAAGACUAACUACUGCGAGAGCAUUUGCCAAGGAUGUUUUCAUUAAUCAAGAACGAAAGUUAGGGGAUCGAAGACGAUCAGAUACCGUCGUAGUCUUAACCAUAAACUAUGCCGACUAGGGAUCGGGAUGAUGUUAAUUUUUUAAUGACUCAUUCGGCGCG
rnacentral:rRNA from 1 species